rnacentral:rRNA from 1 species
GACGAACGCUGGCGGCGUGCUUAACACAUGCAAGUCGAACGGAAAGGCCCUGCUUUUGUGGGGUGCUCGAGCGGCGAACGGGUGAGUAACACGUGAGUAACCUGCCCUUGACUUUGGGAUAACUUCAGGAAACUGGGGCUAAUACCGGAUAGGAGCUCCUGCUGCAUGGUGGGGGUUGGAAAGUUUCGGCGGUUGGGGAUGGACUCGCGGCUUAUCAGCUUGUUGGUGGGGUAGUGGCUUACCAAGGCUUUGACGGGUAGCCGGCCUGAGAGGGUGACCGGCCACAUUGGGACUGAGAUACGGCCCAGACUCCUACGGGAGGCAGCAGUGGGGAAUAUUGCACAAUGGGCGGAAGCCUGAUGCAGCAACGCUGCGUGCGGGAUGACGGCCUUCGGGUUGUAAACCGCUUUCGCCUGUGACGAAGCGUGAGUGACGGUAAUGGGUAAAGAAGCACCGGCUAACUACGUG